CGGAUUGGGUCGUUGGUCACAGAGAGGAGGGCUUGUGCGCCCGAAAUGGAGAAGGGGGCGAAGCGCGGGGAGAGUCGAGAGUCGUAAAUCUCAUUUCAACUGAAGGAGGAGACAAGUACCCGGGAAUUUUCUUCAAGCCUAGACAUCAAGGGAGUUAAUGGAGCCUAGACGUCUUAAGGAGGCCUCAGCUGCUGAUGCCUGUUACUCCACAGAGUGCACAGAUUGCAGCCCCCCAGCUGUCAUCAGGACUCACCCCUGCCGUCUAGAAGCACCUUCUCUUAAAAACCUGCCCUCUCUCGUCCCAUCCACCUGCCCACCAGAACCAAC